rnacentral:rRNA from 1 species
CGAUUGGGACCUUUUUGAUUCCAAGAAGUGCCGCCGGUUUGCCAUCUAUCCCUUUGCCUUCUCUCUCUCACCAGGUUUAGGCUUUGGUUUCUUGAUGUAUUUCCGGUUCAUCUUUUUGGAGAGGUCAGCAUCAGCUACUCGGAAUUGAUUUCGUUCAAAGAAGGUAGGUUCCUUGUGGACCGUUAUAUCUUUGUUCUUUCCUUUUCCUUGUGGCUGAGGAGUGUUCCUGUUUCCGAGCUCCACUUUCGAGUACUCGGUUUCUGUGAUGCUGGCUUAAUCGGUUCCAACCGACCCGUCUUGAAACACGGACCAAGGAGUCUAACAUAUGUGCGAGUAUGCGGGUUUUACUCCUGUAUGCGCAAUGAAAGUGAGAGUAGGGAGAUUUUGGCUUUGCCAUUCUUCGCACCUACGACCGACCACGAUCUCUGAGAGAGGUUUGAGUUGGAGCAUAUCUGUUAGGACCCGAAAGAUGGUGAACUAUGCCUGAGUAGAAUGAAGUCAGGGGAAACCCUGAUGGAGGUUCGUAGCGAUACUGACGUGCAAAUCGUUCGUCAAACUUGGGUAUAGGGGCGAAAGACUAA